CCGAAGGGAAGGUCAUACUGUACGGGAACACCUGUUUUCAGUGCCAUUAAGCAAAUGUUCCAGGAACUGAAUCUAUUCAUGUCUCCUGGCUCCUCCACUCACACAGACACCCAGAGUAACACUGGUCUUUGCCUUCCAGCUUUUACUCGUAGCUCAAAGUGUCAACUUCUUUCAAACAGCAGGUUCAAAUCUCAGCUGGGCAAUUUCAAUUUGAUAUGCUUCUGCUCCUGUUAGAGCCUGUAAUCUACAUUGGCAGACUGAUUUUGGGCUGAUGGGCGAUCUGAUGCUUUGCUAUCUCUGAGAGGGUUCCACGAGGCUGUGACCAAAGUGUGAGGCAUGAAGGCCAGGAAGCCUGCAGACGAGGCGUGGGGCCAUGAUCGACUCCAAUUCUCACAGAUCCCAUCGAUUGAAACAUUGAGGAAGAUUGAAAACAUUGAGGCGAGAGCAGUAGGUGAGCCGGUGUUCAACACCAUCUAGCAGCCUUACACUUGCAGCUGCCGGAGAAGGUAUCUGCAUGUGGCUGUUUCUCACUGCUCCCAAGGGAAGGUCUUCAUGUUCGAGUCAUGAUGUCUCUUCCUUAAUAAUGCUGACGGAUGGAGCCAGAGUAAGGUUUGAACGAUGUGAUUGGACUCUAAUCCAGUUUUCAUGACGUGUUGGAAUUCUAAUUCUAGAUCUGCUUCCUUGUUUUUUUUGUUACCAUGAUUGGGCAAUUUUUAAAACAGGUGGCUUGUGGACAACGAACAAUGAGCUGAAAGUAUGAUGGAGCACUCACAUACAGUGCUGAUGUGAUGAGAUGCUACUCGACCUACUGAGUACUUCCCAGCAGACUCCUGUCGUUACUCAGAUCUGUUGUUCUUUACUCUUCAGAAUUCCAAUGACAAGGCUGACCAAUUUAUUUUUAUUGCUUUUAAGUUUCCAAACCAGGAAGGGAAUUUACAAAUGUUCAAUGGAAGAGAAUGCAAUUAGUGUGCAGCUGAGUUUUGAACUAUUGCUAUAAACAUCCUUCCGCAGACUAUA